rnacentral:rRNA from 1 species
CCUACGGGUGGUAGCAGUGAGGAAUAUUGGUCAAUGGACGAGAGUCUGAACCAGCCAAGUAGCGUGAAGGAUGACUGCCCUAUGGGUUGUAAACUUCUUUUAUAAAGGAAUAAAAUGAGGCACGUGUGCCUUUUUGUAUGUACUUUAUGAAUAAGGAUCGGCUAACUCCGUGCCAGCAGCCGCGGUAAUACGGAGGAUCCGAGCGUUAGCCGGAUUUAUUGGGUGUAAAGGGAGCGUAGAUGGGUUGUUAAGUCAGUUGUGAAAGUUUGCGGCUCAACCGUAAAAUUGCAAUUGAUACUGGCAGUCUUGAGUACAGUUGAGGUAGGCGGAAUUCGUGGUGUAGCGGUGAAAUGCUUAGAUAUCACGCAGAACUCCGAUUGCGAAGGCAGCAUAC